rnacentral:rRNA from 2 species
CACUAUGCUUAGCCCUAAACACAGAUAAUUACAUAAACAAAAUUAUUCGCCAGAGUACUACUAGCAACAGCUUAAAACUCAAAGGACUUGGCGGUGCUUUAUAUCCUUCUAGAGGAGCCUGUUCUAUAAUCGAUAAACCCCGAUAAACCUCACCAAUUCUUGCUAAUACAGUCUAUAUACCGCCAUCUUCAGCAAACCCUAAAAAGGAAAAAAAGUAAGCGUAAUUAUGAUACAUAAAAACGUUAGGUCAAGGUGUAACCUAUGAAAUGGGAAGAAAUGGGCUACAUUCUCUACACCAAGAGAAUCAAGCACGAAAGUUAUUAUGAAACCAAUAACCAAAGGAGGAUUUAGCAGUAAACUAAGAAUAGAGUGCUUAGUUGAAUUAGGCCAUGAAGCACGC